rnacentral:misc_RNA from 1 species
CGCUAGUAAACGCGGAUCAGCAUGCCGCGGUGAAUACGUUCCCGGGCCUUGUACACACCGCCCGUCACACCACGAGAGUUUGCAACACCCGAAGUCGGUGGGGUAACCCUUACGGGAGCCAGCCGCCUAAGGUGGGGCAGAUGAUUGGGGUGAAGUCGUAACAAGGUAGCCGUAUCGGAAGGUGCGGCUGGAUCACCUCCUUUCUAAGGAACUUGUGAACCGUGCCAGGCUUUUAGCCGCACGCAGUAGCAACAGAGAACGCUGUUCUCACAACGAAUUAACGGCAUGGUUUUUUGUUCAGUUUUGAAGGAUGAAUUCCUUCUAUAUAGGUAAGUAAAUUUGUUCUUUGAAAACUGGAUAAUAUCGUAUAAAAGUAACCAAGCAAUAACCGAGUAAUCGCCAUUUUAGGUUAAGUUAGAAAGGGCGCACGGUGGAUGCCUUGGCACUAGGAGCCGAAGAAGGACGGGACUAACACCGAUAUG